UUUAAAUUGAUUAAAUUGGGAAAUAAAUUUACAAGUGGAAACUACUAUUAAAGUCGAUUUUUGAUUAGAUUUAAAACUGGCUUGUGGGGGACUAAACUUUUUAAUUCAUUUAAAGAAAGAAAGACUUAUGAUACAGGAAAGUAAGAAAGAAUAUUGCUACGAGCUUAAAUGAGUUUAUUACAUACGGGGUCUAAAUGAAUUUAUUUAAUAUGAUAAAUGCAACUACAUAUGUGAUAAAGUUUUGAAUAAAAUGUCAGUCAAUAGUUUAUCAUUCAAAAUUAAGAAAGAAACUUAUAAUAUAAUGUUUAAGAAAAUAAAUGUUGCUUCAAAUUCAAAGCUAUGUCUACAAUAAGAGAUCAAUCAAUAUACAUGGUCUCUCAUGUCACCAUCAACAAAAGAAAAUCAAAGAUGUGUGUGGACCAAUAAUUCAGUCAUUGAAUUUAGUGGGGGAAACAUUAUUCAUGUGAUCGUCAUUAACUUACAACUACCAAAUUCUGAUACCAAUAAGACUAGACCCUUAAUUUAAAUUAAUUUCGAACUCAUCAUAUAUAUAUAAUAAGAAUAAUAAUAAUUUGAAUAAAUCUCUUUUGCAAAUUUUCUCUCUCUUUCAUUAUUAGAUGUCAUGGACACAAGCAAACUUAUUUGUCCACAUAAAUUGUGUAACGAAGAAGCCGGAGUUAAUUUGAAGAAAUGAAAGCAACCUCAACUUUAAUUUUCAUUAGAGAUGAGUUCAAUUAGAUAUAAUAUGCUCUUUAAUAAUGUACAUAUUCUUUAUUAAUUUGCUAAAGUUGUUUCAUGUAUUCUUGUAAAGCAUAUCAAAAUAUAUCUAUAAUUAAUUAUUGAAUACUUACUUCAUCAACACAAUAAAAAUGCAGCAUGUAUAUAAUUAUUUAGUAGUUAAUUAAGCUUAGUCAAAUUAACUAUUAACUGCACAUCCAUUUCACUUCAUUUUCUAAUAAAAAUCUAGCUAGGAACUACCGAACUAGUUAUGUUCCCUAUAGGCUGUAAGCGUUUCUUUCUACAAUAAAUUUGCCUCGUUACUUUGCACUGAGCGAUUGAGAGGUAACUAGGAAUAAUUGAAGGGUUUUUGAUCAAGAAAUUAAUGUGAAUGUUAUUAGGAUGGUCCAAACAGUAGAACCAUAACCGAUUUGCUAGAUACUAAUUGAUGUCAUUAACUAAUUAUCCAACACUUGCAUAAAAAAGAAGAGAAAGGGACCAAAGAUGUCACAUAAUUUCACAAUGCCCCACAAAUUUUUAAUGCAACAUCUGAAAAGAUGCCCGAAUGUGGUCCAUAAACCUUCAGUUCCAGACAACAAUGAUCAAACCCACCAAGCUUUUAUGGAGUUCAAAGAGAUAUAUACAUCCUUACAUUGACAGUUAAGGUCUUUACAAGUAGAAAAGCCAAUAAAUCCCAUCAUGCUAAUGUUUAUGUGCUGGCCCCAUUGCAUUUUAUUGUGUGUCUUGAGGAAUGGCUAUCAUCUAGAUAAAGGUGAUGAUCAUUCAGAUUCGUUAGAUUUAUAAUUUGACAUGUCAGAUUUUGUCAUCUCAUGACAGUUUUCUAGUGCAUUUGUGUUUCUACUUUUAAAAUGAGUCUACGUAAAUUUAGGGUAAAUAACGUCGAACAAUUAUUUAAAAAAAAAAUAAAAAAUCGAACAAUUACACUAACAUGGACUAAACUACGCAUAAAUGUAUUUUAUUGGUGGGGUUAAAAUAAUAAAUAAAACUAUAUAAAUUUAGGUAAUCUGUGAGCAUUCACAGUUAAAAAAAAACACAGUGUAAUUUUAAUUGUUCGAUUUUUGCAGCAUUUGACUCAUAAUAAACAUUAAUAAUUAAUCUGAUAUGACAUUUACAUAUAAAUUGCAGCAAUAAUAAUUGGGAUUUCUGGCAUUGCUUAAAUUUUAAACUUACAACUUUUUAUUUUUACUUUAGACUCAUAACCUGAAUGGUUAGAGUUAUAUAAAGGGUAAUUAUCAUUUUCCCACUAAAGUUAUUUUGAAUUAUCAAGUCAUUACUAUGGUUUGCUGAAAAGUGUAUUUUACCACAAAAUGUUUACUCUUUUAUCGUUUUACCAUUAUUCCGUUAAAAGUACGUUAAUAUUUAACAGAAAAUGAGUUAAAAGUCCAUUUUGCCCCUGGAGCAUAAAAUCAUAAUAUGCUAAAUUCAAGUAUUAAUCACAACUCAAAACAAUUUAAUUAGAGAAAAAAAUGUAAUGGACAAUAAGCCAGAAAAAAAAAAAAGAAAUCAAUAACAUGCGGUGGAGAGAGCAAACGGCAGUGGAGACGGCAAAGAGCCAAUGAUGGCACUAUAGUGGAUAGAGCCAGGGGCGGAUUCCCCUUGGGACCAGUGGGGACUUAAGUCCCCACUGAAAAAAAAAAUUCUUUUAAUAGUUAAUUUAAUUAUCUUAAAAUUUCUAAUAAAUUUUUCUUAAACCCUCAAUAAUUUAUAUUCAAGUCCCUAAUACAUAAUUACGCUCAAAUUCUGACACUCUAAAUUUUUAAAACAAAUCAAAAGAGAUGGACUUUACAAACUAAAAUCAAGCCCAAAAACAUCAAUAUUAAUUAAAUUUUUAAACAUAAAUAUUAGUAUUAGUGUAGAGAGAGCAUUUUCAGCCAUGAACAUUUUGAAGAAUCGGUCACGAAGCCAAAUGAGAGAGUAAUGGAUGAAUGAUAGUUUGGUUGUCACAUAGAAAAAAAACUUAUUUAAUGAUAUUGAUAAUGAUGUUGUAAUGCAACGUUAUCAAUGUAUGAAAACUCAUAAAGGACAAUUGUAAACAUAUUUUGAAGUAUGAAAAAUCUUUUAAAUUUAUAUAUUUAUUACUUUUUAAAUUUUUUUAUAUUAUCGUUGAAUAAGCUCCCAGUCAAUCAAUAUACUAACUCCGCCCCUUAGCAACGAGUGAGAGAAAGACAAAUCGGAGAUGGAGUGAGAGAGAGAGAGAGAGAGAGGCCAAUUUUUAAGGUUGCAAAUUUCUUUUUUUUUUUAAUUAUUUAUCUAAUAAUUUGUUUAUUAUUUAUUUUACCAUUACAAACACAAUGUUUUGACUUCAAAGAGAAAUACCUUAAAUACCCUUACGAUAUCAGCAAACCAUCAACAACUUUUUAAAUGAUCUAAUGAAAUGGCGGUAAAACGAUAAUAGAGCAAACAUUUGGUGGUAAAAUAAAUUUUUUAACAAACCAUAGUAAUGAUUUGAUAUGUCAAAAUAACUUGGUGGGAAAAUGAUAUUUUCCCUUAAAUAAAUCCAACAUUUAUCAACCAAAAAGCAAACAAAUGGUGGGCUCUUAUGCUCUCAAAUCUCAGCUCCACUUGCAAAUAUGCACACAUUUGGAAAUUUGGUAUCCACAUUCUUCCUUUCUGUUCUCAUCUGCUUAAAAUAUCUUUUUCCAAAACCAAACAUUAAGUUAGGUUUUGUAAGUUGUAACUCAGAAAGUGAAGUCAUGCACAUGUGAUGAAAGGGCCAACAAGAAUGUCUGAACUCUGAUCAUAACCUUUCACUUCUAGCAACAUCCCCAUCUCUAAAUUAAUUUGUUCAAAUCUACUGCAGUCCAACUGCAGGAUUCGCCGGAGUUCCAACCAAUAGCCAAUUGACACGUGUGCUAAUGGCACAGGACUUCAAAAUUGUAUCACACAACACAACCAUGUCAACGUAUGUUACAAAUGACGCAUGCAUGAUGUAUAAAUAACCUUUUGUUUAAUCUAUAUUUUUCAUUAGAUAAGAGCUCUCUCCUUACGGUCAAAGUUUUUUUAAUUUAUUAUUUUCAAAUUUUAUUACCAAUCAAUCGCCAACUUGUAUUUGCUCAAAUAAAAAUUAUAGUUCGGAAACAAAUUUUGGUUAUGUUUCAU
rnacentral:lncRNA from 1 species